UACCGCAUAAGCGCACAGCAUCGCAUGAUGCAGUGUGAAAAACUCCGGUGGUAUAAGAUGGACCCGCGUUGGAUUAGCUAGUUGGUGAGGUAACGGCCCACCAAGGCGACGAUCCAUAGCCGACCUGAGAGGGUGACCGGCCACAUUGGGACUGAGACACGGCCCAAACUCCUACGGGAGGCAGCAGUGGGGAAUAUUGCACAAUGGGCGAAAGCCUGAUGCAGCGACGCCGCGUGAGCGAAGAAGUAUUUCGGUAUGUAAAGCUCUAUCAGCAGGGAAGAUAAUGACGGUACCUGACUAAGAAGCACCGGCUAAAUACGUGCCAGCAGCCGCGGUAAUACGUAUGGUGCAAGCGUUAUCCGGAUUUACUGGGUGUAAAGGGAGCGCAGGCGGUGCGGCAAGUCUGAUGUGAAAGCCCGGGGCUCAACCCCGGUACUGCAUUGGAAACUGUCGUACUAGAGUGUCGGAGGGGUGAGCGGAAUUCCUAGUGUAGCGGUGAAAUGCGUAGAUAUUAGGAGGAACACCAGUGGCGAAGGCGGCUUA
rnacentral:rRNA from 1 species